GUCUACUGUCACACCACCCUGAAGGGGCCUGAUCUCAUCAGGUCUCAGAAGCUAAGCAGGGUCAGACCUGGUUAGUACUUGGAUGGAAUGUUUAAUCUUAAGAUUAACACUUUUUUGUUGAUA
rnacentral:rRNA from 1 species